rnacentral:rRNA from 1 species
CAGUAGCCACGGGAAUACGUAGGUGGCAAGCGUUGUCCGGAAUUAUUGGGCGUAAAGGGCUCGCAGGCGGUUUCUUAAGUCUGAUGUGAAAGCCCCCGGCUCAACCGGGGAGGGUCAUUGGAAACUGGGAAACUUGAGUGCAGAAGAGGAGAGUGGAAUUCCACGUGUAGCGGUGAAAUGCGUUGAGAUCGGAAAGAACACCAACGAUGAAAGCACUCUGCUGGGCCGACACUGAUACUGAGAGACGAAAGAUAGGGGAGCAAAUGGGAUUAGAUACCCCUGUAGUCCCUGUCUCUUAUAA